ensembl:rRNA 5S_rRNA 5S ribosomal RNA
GCCCACGGCCAUUCCACCCUGAGAAUGCCCAAUCUCAUCUGAUCUUACAAGCUAAGCAGGGUUGGGCCUAGUACUUGGAUGGGAUACUGCCUGGGAAUACUAGGUGCUGUAGGCU